CUUACUUUACUUAAUUAAAUUCAUCUUGUGAAACUUUGCAUAUAUCAAAAGUGUACUACAUAUAUACAUACUUAAAGAAUGAAAUGAACAUUAGUGGAUUAUCACCUAUUACCAGUCCCUUGAAAUUCCCUUCCAAUGCUCUGUCAUCGCCAAGAGGUAACCAUUUAUCCUUAAGUUUGUGGAAUCAUUCCCUUUUGAGGUAAUUUUAAGACCUUUUCUUUCUCUUUGGUGUUCUGCUUUUUGACUGUAACAAAGCUAAGUGAGGAUUUCCUUUUAUUUACCCAUCUUAGGUUCCUAUGAUUGUUGAAU